AAGCCUGCCUUCGAACUGGAUUGACCUUGAGGGCAGGAGAGGGGGAGGUGGAAAUUCCUGUGGUAGGCGGUGAAAUUGCGUAGAUUAUUGGGAGGAAACACAGUGGCGAAGGCGGCUUCUCUGGGCUGUUUUCUGAUCGUGAAGGCGGGGAAAGCGUGGGGGAAGCAAACGGGAUUAGAUUACCCCGGUAGUUCACGCCGUAAACGAUUGGGUGCUAGGUGUAGAGGUAUCGACCCCUUCUGUGCCGUAGUUAACACAAUAAGCACCCCGCCUUGGGGAGUACGGCGCAAGGUUGAAACUCAAAGGAAUUGACGGGGGCCCGCACAAGCGGUGGAGCAUGUGGUUUAAUUCGACGCAACGCGAAGAACCUUAUCAGGGCUUGACAUCCUCUGACCGCAUAUGAAAGUAUGUUUUCUGGCUUCGGUCAGACAGAGAGACAGGUGGUGCAUGGUUGUCGUCAGCUCGUGUCGUGAGAUGUUGGGUUAAGUCCCGCAACGAGCGCAACCCCCUACGUUUAGUUGCUAACGUGUAACGAUGAGCACUCUAGGCGGACUGCCGUUGACAAAACGGAGGAAGGUGGGGAUGACGUCAAAUCAUCAUGCCCCUUAUGUUCUGGGCUACACACGUGCUACAAUGGCCGGUACAAAGGGACGCAAAGCCGCGAGGUGGAGCAAAUCCGAUAAAAGCCGGUCUCAGUUCGGAUUGCAGGCUGCAAUUCGC
rnacentral:rRNA from 1 species